rnacentral:rRNA from 1 species
GUAGGUGGCAAGCGUUGUCCGGAAUUAUUGGGCGUAAGGCGCGCGCAGGCGGUCCUUUAAGUCUGGUGUGAAAGCCCACGGCUCAACCGUGGAGGGUCAUUGGAAACUGGGGGACUUGAGUACAGAAGAGGAAAGCGGAAUUCCAAGUGUAGCGGUGAAAUGCGUAGAGAUUUGGAGGAACACCAGUGGCGAAGGCGGCUUUCUGGUCUGUAACUGACGCUGAGGCGCGAAAGCGUGGGGAGCAAACAGGAUUAGAUACCCUGGUGGUCCACGCCGUAAACGAUGAGUGCUAAGUGUUAGGGGGUUUCCCGCCCCCCUUAGUGCUGCAGCUAACGCAUUAAGCACUCCGCCUGGGGAGUACGGCCGCAAGGCUG